GUUUAAAUAGCUUAUUGAGUAGAGCAUGGCAUUGAAGCUGCCAAGGAGGUUGUUAAACCUUUAAGCA
rnacentral:tRNA from 1 species